CCUGACCCCAUCUGCACGCACAGAAGACACGCCAGUCCAGCAGCUGCACACUGUUCAUCGCUCUUACCUAGAGAUUAACAUGCUAUGGACAAACACUAGCCAACGCACGGACCAAGAAACUUGGAAGCUCAGAGCUCUGGCACCGCCACCUUCUUGCUUCUCGCGAUGUCAAGCAGGGAAGUUCAGCGGGAGAAGUGGCAAGAAUGACCACCAGCCCUUCGCAAACUAAAAUAAAAGCAGCUGGAGCACGACCCAGCGAAUUGGUCACUUCCUGAACAUCCAAUACCAGAGGCAGUCUCUGCUCACAGCUGGGGCAGCCUGAGGUUAAAUUUCUCACCACCCGACAAAACCCCCAUUCUACCGGGCACCAGCACCCGGCCGCACGCGCUCCGGAGCCGUAUGAAAACCGUUUAUUUUCAAAUAUCCCCUCUGAGGUCAAGAACGUUGUUUUUAAAGACACAGCGGCCUUUCGGAGCACAAUGCGCUGCCAUACGGCCACGCCGGCCACCAGGGACACCGGAGUGACAGCAGCAGCAGCCGUCGCCGUGUCGCCGCCCCCCGCCGCGCCGCGGAAGGGCCCACGCUGGCGGCGGUGCAGCACCGCGGGAACCGGAGGCCGAGCCUGCCGGGGACGCGCCCCAGCGUCCUCACCACAGCCCCUGUCCCGCCCGGCGGCCCGGCGUCCCCCGCCGCAGCCCGCCGGCGCCAGGGCCGGUGGCUGCCCGCGGGACGCCGCUCGCCGCCGGCGGCGCCUGGCACGGCCGCCGCCCGCCGCCUCCCCGGGGCCGCCCGCGCCGCCAGGCGCAUGCGCGGGAGCGGCGUGAGGUGGCGGUUUCGGGGCCGGCUCUUGUCAGCCCGGCGGCGGCGCCGCCCGGACCGUGCCCGGCACCGGCUCCGGUUCCAGGUCGCCCACACAGGCGCCCGCCUGCCCGCCCGCCCUGCCGCCUUCCCGCUAGCCUCGCGGGGAGCCGGGAACCCCGCGCCCCGGGAGGCCGCUCCGAGCCCACCCCGGCCCCGCUCACCGGCUCCGCGCUGGUGGUUGCUCCCCCGCUUCUUAGGCUUGGGCAUGGUCGCAGCGGCGCUGGGCUCGGCUCGCUAGGCUUCCCGCGGCCCCUCUCCGGGUCUCGGUCUCUCCGCUCCCCCCCGCCCGGGAAUCAGCGACAAUCAGCCGAUAGAAGAGCAGGAUCGCUUUUUACUCCAACGCCUCUGCGAGGCCGACUUCGCGGGCCGGGGCAGCGGGGGUGAUUGGCGGAAGCAGGCGGAGGACGAACCGGCGGCGAAGGCAGAAAUCCCCGUGGAGGCCCGCGAGCGGAGUCGAUGCAUCUUUCUCCUCUCAGACACCCGGGGCUAAA